AAAGUCGUAACAAGGUUUCCGUAGGUGAACCUGCGGAAGGAUCAUUACCAGUAAUGCGGGUAUCCACCGGCGUCCCCCAAGGACGACCGGCAGGAGCCCCAUUGCCCCACCCGUGUCUACUAUACUUUUGUUGCCUUGGCGGGCCACCGCACACCGCGGCUGCCGGGGGUCUAACCCCGGGCGUGUGCCCGCCAGUGGAACCAUUAAACUCGAACAUCUGAAUCAGUUGCAGUCUGAGCUUUAAGCAUAAAUAAUUAAAACUUUCAACAACGGAUCUCUUGGUUCUG
rnacentral:misc_RNA from 1 species